UACGAAGGGGGCUAGCGUUGUUCGGAAUUACUGGGCGUAAAGCGCACGUAGGCGGAUUUGUAAGUCAGGGGUGAAAUCCCGAGGCUCAACCUCGGAACUGCCUUUGAUACUGCAAAUCUCGAGUCCGGAAGAGGUGAGUGGAAUUCCUAGUGUAGAGGUGAAAUUCGUAGAUAUUAGGAAGAACACCAGUGGCGAAGGCGGCUCACUGGUCCGGUACUGACGCUGAGGUGCGAAAGCGUGGGAGCAACAGGG
rnacentral:rRNA from 1 species